rnacentral:rRNA from 1 species
GACGAGGGAUCCAAGCGUUGUUCGGAAUUAUUGGGCGUAAAGCGGAUGCAUGUGGCUCUGCUAGUCAGGUGUGAAAUCCCAGGGCUCAACCCUGGAAGUGCAUUUGAUACUACAGAGCUUGAGUGCUAGAGAGGUAAGUAGAAUACCUGGUGUAGUGGUGAAAUACGUAGAUAUCAGGUGGAAUACCGGAGGCGAAGGCGGCUUACUGGCUAGACACUGACACUCAGAUCCGAAAGCGUGGGGAUCAAACAGG